rnacentral:rRNA from 1 species
AUACGGAGGGUGCAAGCGUUAUCCGGAAUCAUUGGGUUUAAAGGGUCCGCAGGCGGACUGAUAAGUCAGUGGCGAAAUCCCGUAGCUUAACUACGGAACUGCCAUUGAAACUGUCAGUCUUGAGUUCGGUCGAAGUGGGCGGAAUGUGUCAUGUAGCGGUGAAAUGCAUAGAUAUGACACGGAACACCGAUAGCGAAGGCAGCUCACUAGGCCUGAAUUGACGCUCAGGGACGAAAGCGUGGGGAGCGAACAGGAUUAGAUACCCUAGUAGUCC